rnacentral:misc_RNA from 1 species
GAUGAAGAACGCAGCGAAAUGCGAUAAGUAAUGUGAAUUGCAGAAUUCAGUGAAUCAUCGAAUCUUUGAACGCACAUUGCGCCCGCCAGUAUUCUGGCGGGCAUGCCUGUCCGAGCGUCAUUUCAACCCUCGAACCCCUCCGGGGGGUCGGCGUUGGGGACCUCGGGAGCCCCUAAGACGGGAUCCCGGCCCCGAAAUACAGUGGCGGUCUCGCCGCAGCCUCUCCUGCGCAGUAGUUUGCACAACUCGCACCGGGAGCGCGGCGCGUCCACGUCCGUAAAACACCCAACUUCUGAAAUGUUGAACUCGGAUCAGGUAGGAAUACCCGCUGAACUUAAGCAUAUCAAUAAGCGGAGGA